GGGUUAGUAGGUUGGUCAUGCCUCUGGUAUGCACUGGUCACACUGAUUCCUCCUUCCUGAUGAGCCGUAAUGCCAUUAAUUUGGUGUUGCGGGGAAUUUGGACUGUUACUUUGAAGAAAUUAGAGUGCUCAAAGCAAGCCUACACUCUGUAUACAUUAGCAUGGGAUAACAUCAUAGGAUUUCGGUCCUAAUACGUUGGCCUUCGGGAUCGGAGUA
rnacentral:rRNA from 1 species